CUUCAAUUAUGUCCCUGAUGCAAGAUUCAAUCAUGUUCAUGCAUGAAGAUAUUGAAACUUAAUACCUGACCCCGCAACUCAUCUGCUAGCUGUCUCUCAAGUCUUUCACUGGAAGCCAGUUUUCCAAAUCUCAAACAAGCUCCAUGAGCAACAGAACGAAACAGACACCUUCCAUCUCCAGGGGACAAGCUGAAGGAACAUGAAUUUGAUGUUCCUGUUUCUUGAGGCCUAACUCCACAGAUGCUGCUACUCAUAAGAAUCUGAUGAGCAUGGCCUUUGAGCAUAACAGCAUUUAUUGAGUAUAAGCUCAUUGAUGAAGAGCAAACAAUCAUCUCUUAUUGCCUGAGUCAAGAACCACACACCAUCAUGUCAUUUUUAUUGAGUACAGGAAUAAAUUUCAUAAAAGAAUUUGAUUA